UACUAUGUCAGGGGUAGACCUGUACCGUCAUACACUGCGUUUAUCAGAGAAGACCAGACAGAAGAAAUUUUACCACCCACAGCCUAUCAAAUGCAUGAUAACCCAAAGCCGUGCCAUUUUACGUAAAUUACGUAGACAUCAAGCAUGUGCUAAAGUAAGAUAAGAUAUGUUUUUAAAUGUUUAAAGUCACCUUCACCAUUACUAGAGCAAUAUGCCUCCAUCAUCAGACCACAACUUUUUACAGAACUAAUUAAAUCCAGUAAUAUCACAAAAGUACACAAUGGAAUUAAUUUCUUAAGCAAGCAAGCAGCCAUGGCAGAAUCCAGAGAUUACGUUGGAGAUUUCCUGACAGAAUUCAAGGAGCAGAUAAUUACGAGGGCUACUCGGGUCAGUGACAUUGCUGAGGCUGUUGUCUCCCAAAGUCUGAUCCAUGAAGCAGCAGCUCAACAAGUACAGGCUGCUCCAACCCAGCAGGAGGCAAUGCGGCUCCUGUUUGAGGCUUUGGAAAGAGAGCCACCCCUAAACAGAGUGUCCUU
ensembl:lncRNA